UACGUAGGGGGCUAGCGUUGUCCGGAAUCAUUGGGCGUAAAGAGCGUGUAGGCGGCCCGGUAAGUCCGCUGUGAAAGUCGGGGGGCUCAACCCUCGAAUGCCGGUGGAUACUGUCGGGCUAGAGUGCGGAAGAGGCGAGUGGAAUUCCUGGUGUAGCGGUGAAAAUGCGCAGAUAUCAGGAGGAACACCAAUUGCGAAAGGCAGCUCGCUGGGGACGGUAACUGACGCUGGAGACGCGAAAAGCGUGGGGGAGCAAACAGG
rnacentral:rRNA from 1 species